rnacentral:rRNA from 1 species
CCUACGGGAGGCAGCAGUGGGGAAUAUUGCACAAUGGGCGCAAGCCUGAUGCAGCGACGCCGCGUGAGGGAUGACGGCCUUCGGGUUGUAAACCUCUUUCAGCACAGACGAAGCGCAAGUGACGGUAUGUGCAGAAGAAGGACCGGCCAACUACGUGCCAGCAGCCGCG